CGCUAGGGGAGGGAGGUUUACAAGUGAAGAGUAGUUAGGGAAUAUGGUGACUCUGAAGAAUCGAGAUCAGCAGUGUCCAGGAAUUAGAAAAAAUAAACUGCUAUUUCCGUGAGUUCCCCCUCUGUGAGCCAUUUAGGUAGUGCUGUCCUCAGUCUCUUGGGGCAUACUUCUUUCCCGAUCUGGCACAAAUGACCCCUCAGGGCUUAAAGACUUGAGAAUGACAGAUGAUCAAGCUCUGGACCCAUGUUGAAAGCAGACUUCUGUGAGGAGAAAGAACAGCUGUUUACCAUCUUCCCAGAGUCAAAUUGAACACACUGGAACAGAGAGAUUGCAUUCUUACCCAAAUACUCUUCGUGAUUGCCUGCUUUGCGGCUUUGGGCCGAUGCAAGCUGCAAAAUGGCGAGUCUUCUAAGGUGCCUUUCCUUCCCUGGGAUCCUCAUCUUAGAAUGAGCAGAGGCACAUCGAUAAGAACUGGACCUUGAUUUCACAACCUCAUACAAAGCCAGGCAAUUCUUGAGCCAAACAAAGGGGGUGUAAGCUAUUUCAUUUAUUUUGAUAAUCCUCCUCUUGCACGGGAGCAUUUUGCUGUCUUUGUCAAAGUGAAUGACAACAAUUUGGCCAACUCUCUCUGAGCUGCACUCAACAGUGACAGGCAAAUUAUCAGAGGCCCUGCACUUCUUAUUAUCAGAGGAGAAGCCAUCAGGGGGACGCAUGGAGGAUACCUCUCCCUUGUCACUAUUUGUCAGUGGGACAAGGGCCACUGCU
rnacentral:lncRNA from 1 species